rnacentral:rRNA from 1 species
CUAUACAUGACUCUGCGCAUAUCAAUAAGCGGAGGAAAAGAAACUAACAAGGAUUCCCUUAGUAACGGCGAGUGAAGCGGGAAGAGCUCAAAUUUGAAAUCUUAAAGGGUUUCCCUUUACGAAUUGUAGUUUAAAGAAGUGUUUUCUGUUGAGGUUUUGGUAAAAGUUCUUUGGAAUAGGACAUCAUAGAGGGUGAGAAUCCCGUAUUUGACCUUUACUUUCAACUUUGUGAUACACUUUCAAAGAGUCGGAUUGUUUGGGAAUGCAGUCCAAAAUGGGUGGUAAAUUUCAUCUAAAGCUAAAUAUUGGCGAGAGACCGAUAGCGAACAAGUACCGUGAGGGAAAGAUGAAAAGAACUUUGAAAAGAGAGUUAAACAGUACGUGAAAUUGUCAAAAGGGAAGCGUUUGACACCAGUGUUGUUUUUCUGAAAAUCAAUUAAAGAACUGUUUAUGCUAAGUUGUUUAGACUUUAUCAGCUAACUGUUUAGUUUUGAGCUUUUCUUUAAUGCACUUUUCAGUUAACAAGUCAACAUCAAUUUCUUUUGCUGUAAAAAAGCUUGAGGAAGGUGGCUUGAGAUUCGUCUUAAGUGUUUAUAGCCUCUUGCCUAUGCAGUCGGAGAGAUUGAGGUCUGCAGCGUAGAUCCUUCGGGGCUAAAUGCAUUUGUGCUAAGUUAUAGCAUUUUAUAGACAACUUGUUGACUAUGAUUUGUCUUGUAGCUUACUCGCUUAUGUUAUUUUACCUACGCUUAGGAUGUUGACAGCAGUAUAGACUGU